ACAGAAUCAACAACAACAGCAACAACAUCACCUAAAUCAACAAGAACAACUGAAAACAGCACAAAAUCAGUUUCUCACAUUUUACAAAAAAAUUUGUGGCUCAUCAUUAUGUCUGUGGGACUUACAGCUCUCUUAAUAACUGUUGUUAUUGUUGUUGCUCUCAUCAGAUGGAAGAAAACUAAAGGAAAAAAACCCCAGAUGGAUGAAAACA